UCGAGUUAGGGUCCCUCGCGGCCCGACCUCCCAACCCCUUGUUUAUUCUACCUCUGUUGCUUCGGCGGACCCGCCUUAACUGGCCGCCGGGGGACCGUCGAAAGACGUCCCUUGGCCAGCGUCCGUCGGUGGCCCUCCAAAACUUCUGUCAAACAGUUGCCUUGAUUCUAAGUGAAAUUGAAAUAAACAAAAGCA
rnacentral:misc_RNA from 1 species